GACGAACCGUGCGAACGUUGUUCGGAAUCACUGGGCUUAAAGGGCGCGUAGGCGGCCACAAAAGUCAGGGGUGAAAUCUUUCGGCUCAACCGGAAAAGUGCCUCUGAUACUGUGUGGCUCGAGGGAGGUAGGGGCGGACGGAACUUCCGGUGGAGCGGUGAAAUGCGUUGAUAUCGACAGGAACGCCGGUGGCGAAAGCGGGCCGCUGGCCCUCUUCUGACGCUGAGGCACGAAGGUCAGGGGAGCAAACGGG
rnacentral:rRNA from 1 species